AGGGCACCACCAGGAGUGGAGCCUGCGGCUUAAUUUGACUCAACACGGGAAAACUUACCCGGCCCGGACACUGGAAGAAUUGACAGAUUGAGAGCUCUUUCUUGAUUCAGUGGGUGGUGGUGCAUGGCCGUUCUUAGUUGGUGGAGCGAUUUGUCUGGUUAAUUCCGAUAACGAACGAGACUCUAGCCUACUAAAUAGACUACCGUUCCUUUGUGACGGUAGGACUUCUUAGAGGGACAGGCGGCGACUCAGCCGCACGAAACAGAGCAAUAACAGGUCUGUGAUGCCCUUAGAUGUCCGGGGCCGCACGCGCGCUACACUGAAGUGAUCAGCGUGCAUUAAUAACCCUCUCUGUCAAGAGUGGGUAACCCAUUGAACCUUCUUCGUGAUUGGGAUAGGGUAUUGUAAUUCUUACCCUUGAACGAGGAAUUCCCAGUAAGCGCGAGUCAUAAGCUUGCGUUGAUUACGUCCCUGCCCUUUGUACACACCGCCCGUCGCUACUACCGAUUGAAUGAUUUA
rnacentral:rRNA from 1 species